GGAAGUAAAAUAACAAGGUCUCCGUUGGUGAACCAGCGGAGGGAUCAUUAUCGAGUUUAUAACUCCCAAACCCUAUGUGAACUUACCACUUGUUGCUUCGGCGCGCGCUUCGGCGCCGCCGAGGACACUUAAACUCUUUGUUUUUAUAAGCAUUUCUGAGUGGCCGAAAGGCAAAAUACAAAUGAAUCAAAACCUUCAACAACGGAUCUCUUGGUUCUG
rnacentral:misc_RNA from 1 species